AACGAACGCUGGCGGCAUGCCUAACACAUGCAAGUCGAACGAGACCUUCGGGUCUAGUGGCGCACGGGUGCGUAACGCGUGGGAACCUGCCCUUAGGUUCGGAAUAACUCCCCGAAAGGGGUGCUAAUACCGGAUAAUGUCUUCGGACCAAAGAUUUAUCGCCUUUGGAUGGUCCCGCGUUGGAUUAGCUAGUUGGUAGGGUAAAAGCCUACCAAGGCGACGAUCCAUAGCUGGUCUGAGAGGAUGAUCAGCCACACUGGGACUGAGACACGGCCCAGACUCCUACGGGAGGCAGCAGUGGGGAAUAUUGGACAAUGGGCGAAAGCAUGAUCCAGCAAUGCCGCGUGAGUGAUGAAGGCCGCAGGGUUGUAAAGCUCUUUUACCCGGGAUGAUAAUGACAGUACCGGGAGAAUAAGCUCCGGCUAACUCCGUG
rnacentral:rRNA from 1 species